rnacentral:rRNA from 1 species
GAUGAACGCUAGCUACAGGCUUAACACAUGCAAGUCGAGGGGUAACGAGAGGAAAGCUUGCUUUCCUUGUCGACGACCGGCGCACGGGUGAGUAACGCGUAUCCAACCUGCCCCCAACUAGGGAAUAACCUUGCGAAAGUAAGACUAAUACCCUAUAAUUUCCUCAGAUGUCAUCUGACGAGGAAUAAAGAUUUAUCGGUUGUGGAUGGGGAUGCGUCUGAUUAGCUUGUUGGCGGGGUAACGGCCCACCAAGGCAACGAUCAGUAGGGGUUCUGAGAGGAAGGUCCCCCACAUUGGAACUGGGACACGGUCCAAACUCCUACGGGAGGCAGCAGUGAGGAAUAGUGGUCAAUGGGCGGAAGCCUGAACCAGCCAAGUAGCGUGCAGGAUGACGGCCCUAUGGGUUGUAAACUGCUUUUAUACAGGAAUAAAGUUAACCACGUGUGGUUAUUUGUAGGUACUGUAUGAAUAAGGACCGGCUAAUUCCGUGCCAGCCGCCGCAGUAA